rnacentral:tRNA from 1 species
GAGAAGAUGGUUGAGUGGUUGAAAACAACGGUUUGCUAAAUCGUCGCACUUAAAUUUGAUUAAGUGUCAUGGGUUCGAAUCCCAUUCUUCUCA